rnacentral:rRNA from 1 species
AUUGAACGCUGGCGGCAGGCUUAACACAUGCAAGUCGAGCGAGCGGCGGACGGGUGAGUAAUGUCUGGGAAACUGCCUGAUGGAGGGGGAUAACUACUGGAAACGGUAGCUAAUACCGCAUACCAUCAGAUGUGCCCAGAUGGGAUUAGCUAGUUGGUGGGGUAAUGGCUCACCAAGGCGACGAUCCCUAGCUGGUCUGAGAGGAUGACCAGCCACACCGGGACUGAGACACGGUCCAGACUCCUACGGGAGGCAGCAGGGGGGAAUAUUGCACAAUGGGCGGAAGCCUGAUGCAGCCAUGCCGCGUGUGUGAAGAAGGCCUUCGGGUUGUAAAGCUCUUUCAGCGGGGAGGAGUUACUCGCAGAAGAAGCCCCGGCUAACUCCGUGCCAGCAGCCGCGGUAAUUC